rnacentral:rRNA from 1 species
AGUGAACGCUGGCGGUAGGCCUAACACAUGCAAGUCGAACGGCAGCACAGUAAGAGCUUGCUCUUACGGGUGGCGAGUGGCGGACGGGUGAGGAAUACAUCGGAAUCUACUUUUUCGUGGGGGAUAACGUAGGGAAACUUACGCUAAUACCGCAUACGACCUACGGAUGAAAGCAGGGGAUCUUCGGACCUUGCGCGAUUGAAUGAGCCGAUGUCGGAUUAGCUAGUUGGCGGGGUAAAGGCCCACCAAGGCGACGAUCCGUAGCUGGUCUGAGAGGAUGAUCAGCCACACUGGAACUGAGACACGGUCCAGACUCCUACGGGGGGCAGCAGUGGGGAAUAUUGGACAAUGGGCGCAAGCCUGAUCCAGCCAUACCGCGUGGGUGAAGAAGGCCUUCGGGUUGUAAAGCCCUUUUGUUGGGAAAGAAAAGCAGCAGGUUAAUACCCCGCUGUUCUGACGGUACCCAAAGAAUAAGCACCGGCUAACUUCGUG